CGGGAGGCAGCAGUUAGGAAUCUUCCGCAAUGGGCGCAAGCCUGACGGAGCGACGCCGCUUGGAGGAUGAAGCCCUUCGGGGUGUAAACUCCUGAACUGGGGGCGAAAUCCCUGAUGAGGGGGCUGACGGUACCCAGGUAAUAGCGCCGGCCAACUCCGUGCCAGCAGCCGCGGUAAUACGGAGGGCGCGAGCGUUAUCCGGAUUUACUGGGCGUAAAGGGCGUGUAGGCGGUUUGGCGCGUCUGGCGUUAAAGACCGCGGCUCAACCGUGGGGGUGCGCUGGAUACGGCCAAGCUAGACGGCUGGAGGGGGUGGUGGAAUUCCCGGAAUAGCGGUGAAAUGCGCAGAUACCGGGAGGAACGCCGAUGGCGAAGGCAGCCACCUGGCCAGUUUGUGACGCUGAGGCGCGAGAGCGUGGGGAGCAAACCGGAUUAGAUACCCGGGUAGUCCACGCCCUAAAC
rnacentral:rRNA from 1 species